GCACUGUUGAAGAGUCCCAAACUAGGACGAAACAGCUGUUCAGUAC
rnacentral:hammerhead_ribozyme from 1 species